rnacentral:rRNA from 1 species
CGUGUAGGCGGGUGAAUAAGUCAGAAGUGAAAUCCAAUAGCUCAACUAUUGAACUGCUUUUGAAACUGUAUACCUAGAAUGUGGGAGAGGCAGAUGGAAUUUCUGGUGUAGGGUAAAAUCCGUAGAGAUCAGAAGGAAUACCGAUUGCGAAGGCGAUCUGCUGGAACAUUAUUGACGCUGAGACGCGAAAGCGUGGGAGCAAACA